AGACGAUGGUUGGGGAUGAUUUGGGAUUUCCCCCCCCCCCUCGCCCUUGCACUCAAGCGGAAGCGAAGGGGCCUGAGCGGCGGGGCCGAGGGCAGAGGGGUGCUCGGGGGAAGGCGGUGCUCGGAGAACCGCCCUCCCCCUCGCCCCGCUCUCCGCCCCGGCUCCGCCGCUGCUGCCGCCUCGGAGCCCGCCGGAGGGAUGCGGAGCGCGGCGCUGAAGCGCUGUCUGGCCCCGGCGCUCCCCGCCGCGCUGCCGCGGGGCCGCGGGCUCUGCGGGCGCCAACCGCGGGGCGGCGGAGCGGCCGCGGCGGUGCGCAAAAUCACAGAGAAUGCAAAGAAAUCCUUGGCCUCUCUUAAGAGAGAAAACCCUUGGUUUGAGCCAACACUUGCCAUUAUUCAGGCACAUAAUGACACCAUGACUCAAGAAAUGAACAAGAGCUUUGCCAGAGAGAUUGGUCUACGUGUUAUUCACAUCUGUCUCCCUGAAGGCAGCAGCAAGGAUGAGAUAGUCAAUGAAAUUUUGAGACUUAAUGAAGAUCCUAAUGUGCAAGGCCUUGCCCUUGACCUCCCAGAAAGCUUAUAUAGCAGUAAGGUAUUAAACGCUGUGAAACCAGAGAAGGAUGUGGAUGGAGUAUCUGAUGUAAACUUAGGACGCUUGGUACGUGGUGAUACCUAUGACUGUCUAGUUCCUCCUACAGUGUGUGCUGUGAUAGAGCUUCUUGAAGAUUUAGGUGGGAAAACGGUGCUGCUGGUGGGAACUGGCAGGGCAGUGGGUGCCGCCUUGCAGUGUGUGCUGCAGCAGGAGGGAGCUGCCACCCUGAGCUGCCGCUGGAAAGCCCCUCAGCUGCAGAGCCAGCUUCAGCAUGCAGAUGUGGUGGUACUUGGCAGUACAAAACCUGAUGAAGUUCCUGUGAGCUGGAUAAAGCCUGGAACCACCAUUAUCAGUUGUUCUCGUGACUUGCUGUCAGAGAAACACAACUAUGGCCAGCAAAACAACCAUGCUGCUGAAAACGCUGUUGGUCCUCUUGCAAUAGCAAUGCGAAUGCAGAACAUGGUAAAAAACACGGAGCGAUGGAUCCAGUCCCAGCGCUACAGGAAGUGGGACCUCCGCUGCUUGAAACUGCAGCCCCUCACCCCAGUGCCCAGUGAUAUUGAGAUUUCCCGAGCACAGAGUCCAAAAGCUGUUGAUGUACUUGCCAAGGAGAUAGGAUUGCUUACAGAUGAAAUUGAGAUCUAUGGCCAAACCAAAGCCAAAGUACGUUUGUCCCUGCUGGAAAGGUUAAAGGAUCAACCAGAUGGAAAAUAUGUUCUAGUUGCUGGAAUAACCCCUACACCCCUAGGAGAGGGGAAAAGCACAGUCACAAUUGGUCUUGUUCAGGCACUUACUGCACACCUUAACAUAAAUUCAUUUGCUUGUCUGAGACAACCUUCCCAAGGACCUACUUUUGGAGUUAAAGGUGGAGCAGCUGGUGGUGGAUACGCUCAAGUGAUUCCCAUGGAGGAGUUCAAUCUUCAUUUGACUGGAGAUAUUCAUGCUAUAACUGCUGCAAAUAAUUUGCUGGCUGCUGCUAUUGAUGCUAGGAUCUUACAUGAGAACACUCAAUCUGAUAAGGCUUUGUAUAGCAGACUGGUUCCAGUAGUUAAUGGCGUGAGAGGAUUUUCUGCUAUUCAACUUGCCCGUCUGAGAAGGCUGGGAAUAAACAAGACUGAUCCUGGGACUUUAACAGAAGAGGAGAUCAGCAAAUUUGUGCGCCUUGAUAUUGACCCAUCUACCAUAACAUGGCAAAGAGUGGUGGAUACAAAUGACAGAUUCCUGCGCAAAAUAACAGUUGGGCAAGCAAAUACAGAGAAGGGAUUUGUCCGUCAGGCUCAGUUUGAUAUUGCUGUUGCAAGUGAAAUUAUGGCUAUCCUGGCACUUACCACCAGCCUGCAAGAUAUGAAGGAGAGACUGGGGAAAAUGGUGGUGGCUAAUGACAAGAAAGGAGAACCAGUGACAGCAGAGGAUUUGGGAGUAACAGGCGCUUUGACAGUUUUGAUGAAAGAUGCGAUUAAGCCAACACUAAUGCAAACAUUAGAGGGAACACCAGUAUUUGUUCACGCUGGACCUUUUGCUAACAUUGCACAUGGCAAUUCUUCUGUUUUGGCAGAUAAAAUUGCCCUUAAAUUAGUUGGAGAGAAAGGUUUUGUAGUAACUGAAGCUGGCUUUGGUGCUGACAUCGGGAUGGAGAAAUUCUUCAACAUCAAAUGCAGAGCCUCUGGCUUGGUUCCCAGCGUGGUUGUACUUGUUGCUACAGUGAGGGCUUUGAAGAUGCAUGGAGGUGGGCCAAAUGUAACUGCUGGUGCCCCCUUGAAGAAGGAAUACACAGAAGAGAACCUCCAGCUGGUAGCUGAUGGCUGCUGUAAUCUACAGAAACAGAUUCAAAUUACUCAGCUCUUUGGAGUUCCUGUUGUGGUUGCUCUAAAUGUCUUCAAAACUGACUCUCCUGCUGAGGUUGAUUUGGUGUGUGAGAUUGCAAAGCAGUCUGGAGCAUUUGAUGCUGUACCCUGCAACCACUGGUCAGCUGGUGGUAGAGGAGCAGUCAAAUUGGCUCAAGCUGUGGAAAAGGCAGCCAAUCAGAAAAACAGUUUCAAAUAUCUCUACAGCUUGGAGCUUCCUAUUGUUGAAAAAAUAAGGAUCAUUGCUCAGAAGGUGUAUGGAGCUCAGGAUAUAGAGUUGUCGCCAACUGCACAGUCACAAGUUGAUCGGUACACUCGGCAGGGAUUUGGAAAUCUCCCCAUUUGUAUGGCAAAGACCCACCUGUCCCUCUCCCAUCAGCCUGAGAGGAAGGGCGUUCCCACUGGUUUCAUCUUGCCGAUUAGUGAUGUACGAGCCAGUAUUGGAGCUGGAUUCAUCUACCCUUUGGUUGGAACGGGUCAGCCAGAUUUCUCAUCGCCCUCCCCAGUAAUCACAGCAGAUCCACAAAAAAGUAAAAUUCAUGUGACAUCCCAACCACUUCAGCUGGCUUGUUGAAACUCAAAAGUUAUGAUUUAACUGGAGGAGCAAUGCCAUGCUAUUCACAAGAAAGAGAAAAUCCAAGUUAUUUCUGCAUUAUAGCCUGAAUAUCAUAAAAAUGAAAGUUCAUGUAAAGUAUCUUUUUCAGCCAAAAUUUGAAUUAGUAAAUAAGUAACUAGACGUCUUAAAAAAACAGAAGAAUAUUUCAGAGACUAUAAUACGGCCACUCAUUAAUGUCUUGGCAUUCCUUGCUGAGAACAGGGUACUCAUCAACUUGCACACAAUAUGUGUUUUCUGUAGGCUUACUGAUUUAAAAUGUGUGCUCAAAGCUGAUUGCUAUUAACUGAGCUCUGGGGUUAUCCCCAGAUCAGUCUGGCAAUAGGUUCAUAUUCUUUAGCAACUUGACCAUUUUGUCUCUCUCUGUUUAAUUAAAGCUGACUGGAUUAUUCUCAGCUUCUUUAAUGCAGAAGCAGUUUUAGGACUCUUGACAUAUUAACUUCUUUCUAAUACUUGGUAUACUGAGAAAUCCAAGAAUUUUUAAGUUGCCAUGUUCACAUAAAAUUUGUACCUGUAACAUCUGAAGUCUUAGGAAUUUCAUAGACUUUUAUUUAUACCUGCAUUAUGUCCCUGUGCUGUUAAGCAGAACUAAAGGUUAUCUGAAGCUGUCUCCACACUGCCUGGAAACCAGUUUUUCUUUGAAAUACUUCUUCAGUCUGUGAAGAGAUGUUGCCAGGCAUCCAUAUUAAUGCCUCUAUAAAAAAAGGAAAUACUUUCUCAUGUGUGAUUAAAAUGUGGAAGACAUUAACACAGGAAAGUCACUGAGGCUAAGAAUUUAGCAAGAUUUAUAAAAGGUUGUGGCCAUCAACAAUAUGCAGGGUUGUAAUUAAUACAAACAAGUGAUUUGAAAAAAACUCUGAGCAUGUUGUUCAAGGGUUGGGCCAGUUAUCAGCCCCCACUGUUGGACAGAGAUUGCUUUGUCAGCCCCUAUAGUUGUAGCUUUUCUCCAUAAAGCAUCUGGCACCAGCCCCUGUCAGAGACAAAACGCUGGGACACGUGUAUUUGCUCUGAGGUGAUAUGGCUCACUCCCUGCCUGCCUUCUGCCUGAUUUAAGGUGUGCAACUUCUGUGUUAAUUGAACACACUGCACCAGUUUUCUGCACGUACCCAACACCCUGCUGCUCUGUACACAUAGAAAGCAAGGCACUAGGGGCUUUUGUUACUCGACUAAAUCAAAUGGAGAUAAAAGAUGAUUUUUCAUAAACAAUUGCAGCAGAGUAGAUACAGAUACUUCCCACCUUCCUCCACGCUUGAUGACUUUUUCCCAGUCCUGCAUUUCUCAGCUGCGGCCGGGCACGUGCUCUGCACUGUCCUGCAGGCUCACGCACAGUUGCAGCAAAGCAGCUGGAGCAUAAAGGAGAGAGAAUGUGCAGUGACACACGGUGAGCAGAGUGAAGCCUUUUUCCUGGGCACCAGAGAGAAGUAACGUUAUGCUGCUGGCACUGCAUUUGUCAGAUUUGUUUGUGUGCCUGAGACCCUGAAUGAGCUGUGCUGACUGUAGAGCUCUUAUCCGAUUUGUAGUAAAGAGCAUCAAUGCCAUUGUAUUUGGCACCUGUAGUAAAGAUGUGAUGCGGUAAAUAGACAUGGAAACCAAUUGCUCUGCAGGUAAUCUGGCCAAAAUGUGAUCAGGGCAUGUUUGUGACAGUACAAAUAAGCUUCCUCCGAGUUUGUGAAGUUCUUUGUCUCUUUACUUUUCUCAGGGAAAAAGAAAAAAACUAUAUUUCUUAAUACCUUUCACAGAAAAUCAAUUUAAAAAUAACUUCACAGACAGUAUUUAGGCAGUCUGACAGAGGAGAAAUGUGACAUGGAAGCAAAGAUAAAGAAGAUUUUUCCCACAAAUAAGCAACAGGCCUUUUUUGUACGAGGACAAUGACAGGAAUCCCAACAGCGGGGUGGGAUGCUGGUGACAAGACAGCAGCAGAAUCCAUGACUGUGACCAAGGGAGGGAUCUCGUGCUCACGAGCAGCCUCUCUUCAAGGCACAUGCCCGGGCAGGUGGGCCAGGACAAGCUGUGGGGGCAUCGCAGCCCACCAGGAGGUCAGUGGGCCAUGGCGGGAGCUUCCUUCAUGGGGCCACCAGGAGGGAAGGAGGCUGAACCUCCAUAGGUUGUGUUCGUUGUGCCUUUGGCUGAGCAGUGGAGCUGUAAAUGGUUUGUUUGCCAAAAAUGAAAGUUCACUACAGACGCCGUUUGUUUGGAUUAGAAGGAGCCUGGGAGCUCUACCAUAAGAGUAAAUAAAACAUGUGGCUUAGUCUGCUGGUUUCUUUGCUUUGGUAUUAGAGAGAUUAUAUUCUGAUUUUUAUUUCUGUGUUAUCAUUUUAUUUUAGUCUUUUUAUGACUUACCCCAUAUGUACACAAAUAAACUAUGGCAUUUUUUAAAAUUUUUUUAGUGAUUGAGAAGAAGUUCUAUAGAUCAUUCCUGUACUAGAUGUUUGUCAAAACACACAAAAGAGUUUUGUCAACUUGUUUUCCUUUGGGAUGCAGAAAUUCGUUACUACCUUCCACUUUUUCGUCCUUUCACAUGCUGCAUUUGGGAAAAAUACUGAGCACCACCCACAAAGCAUCUGUUUGAGGGUUGGUUUGUUUUUCAGACUGAAAAAAGUAUGUUUCCAAAUAUAAUUGCUUUUGGUUGGACAUUUUAACAUUUUUAUUGUUUAUAUGAAUAUAUCAUAAUCCUUUGUUAUAUUGCAGAAACUGUGCUUAGAAAAGUGACUUAAUGCAAGUUCAUACUGAGUAAGUACUUCAGAGCAAAGUGUGAAAAAGAGAGGAAGUUGUAUUCCCUUAAAAAUACUGAUACAAAAACUUCAUUACGUAAUAGAAAAAGAUGAUUCAUGCAAUGUAACUAUUUAGCAUAGUUAGUUUUGAGUUUCAGUUAUAUGAGACUAAAAUGAGAAUCAGAGUUACCAAUUUCAAGUUCCAUUCUCCUAGCAGCACCUCAGCUCCUUUUGGCAAAUGAUUUAACCUUUUCUGCCUCCUAUCUCACUCACCUUUUAAAAUUGAGAUCUUAUUUCAUGUAUUUCCCAGAUGUACUUAAUGUGUUUAAUUCAUAUUUGGAAGUACUUUGAAAAUAAUUUUAUUUACGGAAAUAUAAAUCUUUAUUAUAUUAUGUGAGGAUGCAUGUUUACAGGAUAAAGAUUGUGCUCUCCAUAAGUUCACAACAUUUUGGCUGGUGUCCUUUGAAAAUUAAAUCUGUCUGACAGCUUAUUCCCUCACAGUUCUCUCCCAAUGAACAGAAAUUAGAGGUUUAGUGUCUCCUUAGAGAAACUUUGAAAAUCAGCAUUGUGAUACAAGAGUUAAGUCACACAUUCAUGGCUAGAAUUUUUUCCUUUCUCCUUAGAGCUAUUAAUGCAGUUCAGAAAACUUGCAAAGAAGGUGGCUCUUCUGAAGGUACUAGUGCCUCACAAGUCAGUGGCUUUCAGCUUUUUUCAAAGCAUUUCAAUGCUCCUCCAUUUUCCAGAAGUGUGAACUCUAGCAUAGGUUAUUCAAGGCUCGCUUUUCUUAGCAGCCCUUUGGAGACCUGUUAAAAUAGUGGGUCAAUAGACUAUAGGGUGAAAAUUGGUCAUCUAAAUAAUAUAGUUCAAUUUUACUUGUUUUCUUGUCAAAAGGAACCACAGUACAUUCUGGUAUGAUUUUAGAGAACAUGCGGUAUUGAGUAAUAUAAUUUACAGACAGUUUAACAAUUUGGUGCCCUCAUACCCAGCCAAACAAUUCAUUCUGGAUCCUUCUGGGUUAGGAACAAAUAGAAAGGAAAAGUCAUUCAAUAUGUCAGUGCAACUAAGAUAGCAUUAACCUAGUGUAUUGAAACAGUAAUUUGCCUGGAGAGAAAUGGGAUGAAAUUGCAUGUGGUUAGAAAGCAGCAGUAUCCAUAAUUAUAAUGUCAGGUGCUUGUUUGUAAUUGCCUAUUUCCUGUUUGCUUCAGUUUGUCACAAAAUAAUGUGUGCUAAGAGCUACGAGGAGCAAGCAAUUUAAUUUGCUUAUCCAAGCAACAAGUGACUUGAGAAAGUAGAUGAAACUAACAAGAUUAGAGAUGCUCACAGGUCAAGGUUGAUACUUGAUGAUGUUACAGUGAUAGUGGUUGGUGCCCACCACAGUUGAUCAUUCUUUGGAGACAAGCAGCCCGGCUUUUCUUUCAACAUCUCCCAUGACAACCACAGACCAGAAAGGCAAACUGCACACGUGAAUUGUAGCUUUUAUUGUUUCCCAGUACUGAAACCAGAGCAUGGCUACUCAGAUAGGAUUAGCGGAGUAUGGUCACCUCUUCCACUUUUUCAACUCCUGUUGCUUCAGUGUUUCCCAAAAUACUUGUACCCUUUGGUAUUACAAAGGUCACCACUGGCACUUAGCUUAAAAUAUUUGAGACAAAGCCAGUUUGGUGAUUUAACAAAUAAAAGGAACUAAUUUUAAGUGGUCCCGUCCUAUGGUCCCUUUACGGUUUUUAGAAGCAGUUCUUCCCAUAUAUAUACACAUAUGUGCAUCAUCUUUGCUCAAUAAGAUGUUUCUUAGGGAACUUUACUCACUCAGAUGUCAGUGGAUGCAGUUAAUUUUAACCAAGGUGACUAGUAUGGCAGCAGUUAAAUGUGCUUUUAUUCAGCAUAGUUAUACAGUCAUUUGGGAUUUCUCCAUGUUGUAAUUUGUCAUUGAAAUGAUGGGAUGAUGCUCCCAAUGAUCUUCCAAGCAUGGCUUACUGGGAAGGGUAAAGUUUGUUGCAUGUUGAGCACAGAUAUUUGCUUUGUGUAGUCUGCUGUUGCCACCACCUCCAGUUUCUGGGCUGUAACUGGGGCGCCGUGCUUUCCUGUGUUAACAUGUCAGGCUGUCUGACCAGCAAGGUAAGUCUUGUAUAAAAGUUAGGAGGAUUUUAAACAAAAUGGCACAGUGAAGAUCAAGAGCAAAGAGUGGGAUGUGCUCCCAGUGUUUGAAGAAGGGCCAUUCUAGAGGAAAAACAAGUAAAAAAUAAACAGGAGGAAAUGAAGGGUGCACAGUCCCUGAGGAAAGGCAAAGUGGUUGGGAUGGGUCUGCCCAAGACCUUUCCUCCCCAAAUACCACAAAAUCUGUUCUACUUUCAGCAGAACCUGAGCUUCUAGUGGAGAUUGGUCACCUUCUGCUCACCAGGAGACCCAAUCACUGGACAAAGUAAGAGGAUUAAGUACCCACAAACGUCAGAUAUUUCAGAUAUUCCUGUUGCUGAAACAGCACAUGGGAGGAGCACCUUUAUCCUCUGGAUUUAUUCCUUCAGAGGCACAUUUCCAGCACUGUCUGAUAUAUUGGACACUCGUCAAGAAUGGGAACAGCCCUGGGAGCUACUGACAUCAGGAGUGAACAGGAGGGAAGGAUUUUUUCUGGCUGAGGAGGUGAUUUUGUACAAGAGGCAGCAAAUGAGAAUCCUUUGCCAAGGAUUCUGUCAAAAGCCCAAGGGGGAAAGGAAAAUCAGGAUGUAGGCCAUGGCCAAGGGAGCAAUUACUUCUGGAAAUGGAUUUGAGUGGGCUGGGAUGGAGGGAGGUGUUUUGGAACAAGUCACCUGGAAUUUGUAGGCCUGUUUUUUCUCUCCCCUUUAUCUCCUUAGUGGCUGGUUAUUUGGGGUUUGGUGGGUUGAUUUUGUUUGUUCGUUUGUUUGCUUUUGGGGGAGUGAUUUUGGGCGUUAUUUGUUGUAGCUUUCAUUUUUCUAGUAUUUUGUUUAUCAAAUAACCUAUCUAAGGCAGAAAACAGCUCUGAACACCCUGUGAAACACCAUGCUGUGUUGUGGAUAGUGUGAAAAAAUAGUACACUGAACUAACAAAAUCUAACGUGCUACCUCAGAGAGAGAGUUGUAUUUUUUGAGUAAAAUUUCAAUUAUUGAUCCCAUUGUGCAGUUACUAGGGGGAUCAUAUUUUCCUGCAAGAAGUAUGGUUUUAGAAAUUCUAAGAUGAAAAUUAGUUGAGACAACUCUGCUGAAAGGAACUGCAGUCAUAUAUGAGUCACUAAUGUUUUACUUAAUAGGGGAAAUUGCUUGUUCUUUUACAGAUUACAUCUGUGCCUAAAUAUUUUAUUUAAUUGCUAGCAAAAUGUAGGUUCUGUGUCUUCAGUUCUUCAGCACGUCACUAACAGCAGCAUUGGAGUCCCAGUGGUAUUACACUGACCCAUUCACCAAGAACUUGGCCAAACAAACAUUGCCCGAUUCCUCUCGUCCCCUGCUUCCUUUGGGAGAUACACACCCAUGUCUUUCCAAAACCUGUACUGGACAGAUGUGGACGGUUGUGUGGGUUUUGUUUUUUUCCCUUAGGGUGCCCAGGAGAUCACUUUUGGAUUCAGACUAUUUCUGCUCAAAAUGAGUAGAUUGUAGGGUCCUGGAAAUCCCUCAGAGAAUGCAACAGGGCACAACCUACUUCUGCCUCACUUUAGCACGUGGUGGCAGGGUCAAUUAGGAUUGUAUAAUCAAUAUUCAAUACUUUUAUAACUUCAUCCAGAUGCUGAUAGCAGAAAAGCAAUGUCCAUGCAUUUUGUUGUUGUAAAUCCUUUCACAAAAUCAAACAAUUGCCAAGAAUGUGGAAACAUUAAAGUAAGAGACAAUGAUAAUAGAAUAAUUGAAACCAGAUGGAUUUCUGCACCUGAUAUCAGUCAGCGUGCCAGUGAAACAGCUUUUUAUUGCAAGGCAUGCUACAGCAUAUGUCAGGGUAGCACCAGCUUAUUUUCAAACAUUAUUUUGAUCAUUUUGAAAGCGACUAGUGUGUUGAGUUUCUUACUGUGAUUGUUCUUAUACAUUGCAACAAGAUCCUUUUUUGUUAAAUAUUUCCUGAGAAGGAAAUACGAUCUUCACUCUCCCAACCUCCGCUGGCUAUUAUCAGAUGAGCACCAUGCCAGGACUGCCCACGAGGCCGUGCUUCUAUGACAUUGACCUUGACCCCGUCACAGAGCAAGUGAAAGGAUUAUUUUGAGAGUGACAUCCAAAUUCAGAAGCCUGGAAAUUAAGAACUGCAACUUUCCUGUUUCCUGCAAGUAGGAGACAAAAACGAACGUGAAAAAUUCCUGUUAUGUGUCUCGGGAGGAAUGUCAAGAUAGACCAAAGAGCAAAAGUUUACUCUUUCUUCAAACUAUUUUUUACAAUGAAAUAUAGCUGCAAGGUUAAAAAAAAAAAAAAAAAAGGCAAGCUAAAGAAGUUUUUUGCUGUAGUGCAGAAAGCUCUCUGCUGGGCUUAGAGUUGCUUGUGGAUAAAAUGACAUUGAAAAGUGAGGAAUUUUUCACUUUAGAGUUUUCCUCUUUUCUCAAAGGAGUUUACAGAAGUAUUUGCCUUAUCUUGGCCAUCUAAAAACUCACAUUGACAUGAUUAUACUAUGUGAUCAAGUAUAUUUCUCUCUGAAAAAUAAUACACUUUCUCUCCAGGCAUUCAGGAGCUGAAACUACACACAGACUAACUGCGCAUUUUUGAGUUAUCACCAGGCAUUGCUGUGGAUGCACUUGGGCAACAGCCAAGCUUCAAGCAAGGAAGAUAUUAAGCAGAGAAAGAACAGAGCAUGUAUUUUGUACAAGGUUUUUCAUACACAACUUGUUUCCUUGUUGGGCAAAGAUAUUUUGAAACACUUAAGACAUAGCUGUCUCAUAUCCAUAGGUCUCUGUCUAUCCAAAGCGAUGUUACAAGCUGUCCAGCUGAUUCUGCGUUUGUUGUGGUGAAGCUGGUUGUUCAGUGAGGGCACUGCUCCUUCUGAAGCCGUUUUGCUGCUGUUCAUGACUAAUGAAGCCUCCUGCUGUGCUGGCUCCCGACCUAGAGCUUUUCUUGUCCUGCCCUGGCAGUAUACAACGCCCAGGAACAACAAAGGAAUGUCCAUCAAGCAAGGAUGCAACACAGCAGAGCUUUGUUCUGCUUUGCUUUGCAGGUUUUAACUGCCAUACUUGUAAAACUAGAGCAUGUUUUCUGUUUGAAGGGAGUAUUCAAACAAGUUAAAUCCUAAAGCGUGUUCUUUAAUUUACAUCAGUAAUUUACCUUGCCCAUUUUUUCCUAAAUCUGCAGCAUUUAGCUUUUCAAGCUGCUGCUCCUCAGGAAACUCUCACUGACUGUUGGUUCCUUCAAUAACAAAAAACGCAACAGAACAAUAGGUUGGAUGGAGACAAUAGGCCAUUGUUUUUUUAGGUAAAAAGCAGUGAAAUAAUGAUGAGAGAGUUUAUUUUCCUGGUGACGUUUUCCAUCCUGUCACUUUGCUCCACUUACGCACAUCUGUAUGUUUUGAGCUUCUGCAAUGUAGUUUUGGUUCCCUUCUCCGCAGCCACAUUUGGAGACUUAAUUAUCUCAGGAGCUGUGUUGUAAUUGAGGGCUUUGUUUUGGUUUUUAAAAUCAUGGUUCGUUAUUUAUAAACUCAAAACUAUAAUUAUGGACAGAAGAGCAAACUGGGGACAAUCAAAAUAAUUAUCUGUGCCUCCCCUGGAGUAGCACGGAAAUGUCUGCUGACCGCAUUUCAGAACUGUUCUAUUCAUAGUGUGGUACCCCAGCACUGUGGGGGUUGCUGUGAAGAAAAAUGUUAAAAACCAGGGUUAUUUGAUACGUUAGCCUGAUUAAACAAUAGAGCUCAUAAUGGUCUAGACUAUAGAUGCUUUAAUUACACUGGGGCAGGACAAACAUGACAAGUAGAAAGUAAGAUUCAAGUGUGGCUCUUGCAGCUCCUGGGGAUUUCUGAUAUUUUCUAUUAAGUUUUGCCCCAAAAUACAACCAUGUUACUAAAACACUGAGCCUAGAAAAAUCCAAAGACUUUUGGAAGAAAAUAAAUAUGAUUUCCAGCCUUAGUUUUCCUAGUAAAGACCUUACAAGAAAAAUAAAUAAGGUUUUCCUUCCAUCUUGCCCAGAGAAAUUUGCAAAACCACAACCAUGCCUUACUUGUGGUCACUGUGGCUGCCCCACAGGUGCGUUGGACAUAUCUCCAUGCAAAGUGGGAUAUUAAAUGUGGCACUAGCUGAUCACCUGUGAAGCUUCCAUAUGGGAUACAGAUGUCUGAGCAACCGGUUUUAUAAGUCAUUUCAAACUGCUGCCUGAUACACACUUUCUAAAUUGUAGUCUAUAUUGUCCCAUCAGGCCUUGCACUCUGGGACUGUUUAUCUGACCCAGUGCCUCCCUAAAACACCAUUCCAGAUCAGUUAGCUGAGAGCUGACAAACAUCCUGUAAUUUUUUUCUACUGUCAUGUGCACAGGAUUUGUUAUAUUGUUUUGAUAGCUUCAAUAAUUCAAGGAAAGCUGGAAUGACUCUCAUUUUCCCCCCAUCUAGUUAACUGUCUGCGAAGUCUCUUGAGCUAUUACAUUUUUGGUUCUUCAUUUUUAAUUUUAGUUGAAGAUUUGUUAAAAAUAAUCCACACUGACCUGCAGAUUCUGUCUCAUGAUCCAAAGGGACCGAGUUAUUGGCCAUCAGCUGGGCUGCGGAAACUGCUACAGUACAUUCCCUUGGGCCACCCUAGUUCUCGGGCCAAAUGCCUUCAUUGAGAAGGGUUUAAAAUGAAAUCUUUUUAAGGUAACUUUUAUUGCUGGGUGGGUCACUUGUUGCUGCACAGAUGUGAUCGCAGGUGCGGGAUUCCUGCCUUUGCCUCUGCCCUGACUAACCUGGAAACACAGCAGAAUGGCAUCUUCAGAAAGUGAAUUGCCGGGCUUAUCCCUGCGUUUGCUAAAGCGUACUAAGAGCUAUGCCCUUGUUUAUUAUCAGAAGAUCUGCUUUUUGUAGUGACUGAAUACUUUGUUAUUGCUACUGCUGAACUACAGAAAACUAAUGACAUUGAAAUACAUCAGACUACAUACAAUGGGUUUCUUUGUUUGCAUUUUAAGAUUCAAAAUCCCAGAUUUUCAGUUGCCAUGAACAUGAAAACAAAGUGUGUGUGCUGAUAUUCAGUUUGCACAUGAUGCCUGUCUCAAGCCUGAAUUCAUUAAUAAACUACCUUCGUUAUUUAA